CCUAAUAAGCCGUUAGAACAGAGCACUAGGAUCGGGGUAGAAAUGUCCAGACAAGAAAAGGAACGAUAGCAAAGAUUUCAAUCUCCAUGGAAAUGGUGAUUUCGUCAUUCUGAAGAAUAGCUGGAUAAACGGUCGCUUUGGAGAGGCCCUUUUCUCCCUCUCUUAUCAAAACUAGUGAAACAGUUGCUCACUGAUGCUGGAAAGCUCUUGACAAUGGCUUCUUCAAUCACUUUUCUUUUCAGACCAGCAAUUUGAGAUCUGUAUUUUUGGACGAAAGAAGCGGAAUUUGUGUACCUAGUGUUCCUGUAACUCGCAUUGGUUUCUCGAGAGAGAUUAUAGAAUGUAAGGAGUCGCAGAUAGGGAAGCAACCAGUUCAAGUUCCAUCCAAUGUGACAAUCACAUUGGAAGGCCAGAAUUUAAAAGUAAAGGGUCUAUUGAGGGAACUUUCAAGGAAUUAUCCACAAGUAAAGAUUGAGAGGGACGAGAAUGGAAUCCUUCAGGUCAAAAAGGCUGUAGACACUAGAAUAGCAAACCAAAUGCAUGGACUUUUCAGGUAAAGUCUUCCAUCAUGUGGCUCUAAUAUUUUGAUUGCCUAUUAUUUCUUUGUUUUUAGUAUUGUUGCACUUGAUGCUUUCUAUUAGACUAAUUUCAAACGCUUUAUUCUUGGACCUUCAGGGGUUGUAUUAGGAAUGCGUAAACUGCUUCAAUCUGGUUUUGAACUAGUUCUGGCAUGCGACAUUGACAAAUUUAGGGACUAAGAGAGGUUACCUACUCUGUAUCAUGCAUGCAAAUUUUGGGAGAGAAGAAGAAUAAAUAAUUUUAGAAGAAAAUUUAUUGGUAGAGAAUUUGCUGCCAUGAUGAUUACUUCUAAAUUGUAGUUUACAAGCCAACUAUGUUGUUUCAAUAACGAUGGAACUGUUGAAACCUAAA